UCGGCUUGUUAAUUGAAUUGACUAUUAAAGUCAACUGCGAUACAAUUAAACCCGUUAAUAUCGCGGGGUAGUGUACAGUUGCACAGGAGGCUCAAAAUGGGCUCAUCUCUUUUAAAACGGGAUGAUAAUUCGGCUGUAUCGGUGGAUUCCUUAUUAUAUCAUUAAGGAGAAUACCGAGGAAAGAUCUCAAGCGAGUCUUGAGAAAUCCGUAGAGACUAUACGCCGAAUGAUAUACCGACUGGUAUGUUAAAGAUAUAGUCCGAACCUUCGAGUAAUCGGAGU
rnacentral:ncRNA from 1 species